rnacentral:rRNA from 1 species
CACGUAGGGGACGAGCGUUGUCCGGAUUCAUUGGGCGUAAAGCGCGCGUAGGCGGCUCGGAAAGUCGGUCGUGAAAUGCCGGGGCUCAACCCCGGGACUGCGUCCGAUACUUCCGGGCUGGAGGUAGGUAGGGGAGAUCGGAAUUCCUGGUGUAGCGGUGAAAUGCGCAGAUAUCAGGAGGAACACCGGUGGCGAAGGCGGAUCUCUGGGCCUGUUCUGACGCUGAGGCGCGAAAGCUAGGGGAGCGAACAGG